rnacentral:misc_RNA from 1 species
ACAUAAACUAUUGCAUGCUGAUGGCCACUUUGGCUAAUGAGGUCAGGUUCUGCAGAUCUGGGUUGAGGCAUAGCGAGGUGCUUCUUCAUGCCAAAACUUUUGACAGAGUUUGCUCUUAAUAUUUCAUUUUUUCUCGUUCUUCUGAUGGGAAUUGUUUCUUUUGGGCAUCUUCCAUUCAAGUGCCACAACUGGGUAGUGGGGUUUGAUUCUUCCUCGGAAUUUGACGAAACCUUGCUUUCACUGAGAAGUCCUUCUGGGUAGAAGGUCGGUCUCAUCUGAAUUUUAUGGUUUUUGAGCAAAGGAUGAUCAAAAGCCGUUUGGUGCGUAAUAUGAACGCAGUCGAUUAUGUCCCCAUCUGGACUCUUGAUGGAUUUAACUGGAGGCUUGUUCAAGCGCUUCAAGUGGUCCUGAACCUCCAGCUUCUGCUGAGACAAGCUGCUUCUACUUCCAGCAACAGCAUGUGUCAAUGGUGUCAAUAAAAACACCACCAAAAAAGAGGCCACCAUGUUCACAUGCCUCGCCAUAGCCUACAGAACAAAAUUUCAAUUGAUUCUCAGACGCAGACUCACAGAACAAGAUCAGGUAUGCUCAAAGCAGCCAGCGCUAUCCGAGAGAAGCACAAGUCUUCUU